rnacentral:rRNA from 1 species
GACGAGGGAUCCUAGCGUUGUUCGGAAUUAUUGGGCGUAAAGAGGGCGUAGGUGGCUUUGUAAGUCAGGUGUGAAAUCCUGGGGCUUAACCCCAGAAGUGCAUUUGAUACUGCGAAGCUUGAGUGCUAGAGAGGUUACUGGAAUUCCUGGUGUAGUGGUGAAAUACUUAGAUAUCAGGAGGAACACCGGAGGCGAAAGCGGGUAACUGGCUAGACACUGACACUCAAGCCCGAAAGCGUGGGGAUCAAACAGG